AAGUCGUAACAAGGUUUCCGUAGGUGAACCUGCGGAAGGAUCAUUACAUUCAGUAGCUUGCUACUGUUAGGGAGGCCGGUUAGUCUGUAUAGUAUCACUACUGAUGAGCAGUACGGCCUUCUGUCUGUACCCUUGUCUUUUGCGCACUCAUGUUUCCUUGGCUGGGUUUACGCCCGCCGGCUGGACAACUCUAUAACCUUUUUAAUUUUUAAUUAGCGUCUGAAAAACCUAAUAAUUACAACUUUCAACAACGGAUCUCUUGGUUCUG
rnacentral:misc_RNA from 1 species